UUUUAUGGAGAGUUUGAUCCUGGCUCAGAGUGAACGCUGGCGGCGUGCCUAAUACAUGCAAGUCGAACGAUGAAGCUUUUAGCUUGCUAGAAGUGGAUUAGUGGCGCACGGGUGAGUAAGGUAUAGUUAAUCUGCCCUACACAAGAGGACAACAGUUGGAAACGACUGCUAAUACUCUAUACUCCUGCUUAACACAAGUUGAGUAGGGAAAGUUUUUCGGUGUAGGAUGAGACUAUAUAGUAUCAGCUAGUUGGUAAGGUAAUGGCUUACCAAGGCUAUGACGCUUAACUGGUCUGAGAGGAUGAUCAGUCACACUGGAACUGAGACACGGUCCAGACUCCUACGGGAGGCAGCAGUAGGGAAUAUUGCGCAAUGGGGGA
rnacentral:rRNA from 1 species